UACAGCGACUGCCAGCGUUAUUCGGAUUCACUGGGCGUAAACGGUGCGCAGGCGGCCGUGUGUGUAAGGUGUGAAAUCCCUAGGCUCAACCUCGGAACUGCGCCUUAAACUACAUGGCUAGAGUAUUGGAGAGGGUAACGGAAUUCACGGUGUAGCAGUGAAAUGCGUAGAUAUCGGGAGGAACACCAGAGGCGAAGGCGGUUACCUGGACAAUUACUGACGCUCAGGCACGAAAGCAUGGGGAGCAAAAGGG
rnacentral:rRNA from 1 species